rnacentral:rRNA from 1 species
GGAGGGUGCAAGCGUUAUCCGGAUUCACUGGGUUUAAAGGGUGCGUAGGUGGAUUAGUAAGUCAGUGGUGAAAUCUCUGGGCUUAACUCAGAAACUGCCAUUGAUACUAUUAGUCUUGAAUACCGUGGAGGUCAGCGGAAUAUGUCAUGUAGCGGUGAAAUGCUUAGAUAUGACAUAGAACACCAAUUGCGAAGGCAGCUGGCUACACGAAUAUUGACACUGAGGCACGAAAGCGUGAGGAUCAAACAGGAUUAGAUACCCUGGUAGUUCACGCCCUAAACGAUGGAUACUCGACAUUUGCGAUAAACUGCAAGUGUCUGAGCGAAAGCAUUAAGUAUCCCACCUGGGAAGUACGAUCGCAAGAUUGAA